GACAGAGGGUGCAAACGUUGUUCGGAAUUACUGGGCGUAAAGCGCGUGUAGGCGGCUGAGCAAGUCGGAUGUGAAAGCCCUGGGCUUAACCUAGGAAGUGCAUUCGAAACUGCUUGGCUUGAGUUCUGGAGAGGAAGGCGGAAUUCUCGGUGUAGAGGUGAAAUUCGUAGAUAUCGAGAGGAACACCGGUGGCGAAGGCGGCCUUCUGGACAGUGACUGACGCUGAGACGCGAAAGCCAGGGGAGCGAACGGG
rnacentral:rRNA from 1 species